GACGAACGCUGGCGGCGUGCUUAACACAUGCAAGUCGAACGGAAAGGCCCUGCUUUUGUGGGGUGCUCGAGUGGCGAACGGGUGAGUAACACGUGAGUAACCUGCCCUUGACUUUGGGAUAACUUCAGGAAACUGGGGCUAAUACCGGAUAGGAGCUCCUGCUGCAUGGUGGGGGUUGGAAAGUUUCGGCGGUUGGGGAUGGACUCGCGGCUUAUCAGCUUGUUGGUGGGGUAGUGGCUUACCAAGGCUUUGACGGGUAGCCGGCCUGAGAGGGUGACCGGCCACAUUGGGACUGAGAUACGGCCCAGACUCCUACGGGAGGCAGCAGUGGGGAAUAUUGCACAAUGGGCGGAAGCCUGAUGCAGCAACGCCGCGUGCGGGAUGACGGCCUUCGGGUUGUAAACCGCUUUCGCCUGUGACGAAGCGUGAGUGACGGUAAUGGGUAAAGAAGCACCGGCUAACUACGUGCCAGCAGCCGCGGUGAUACGUAAGGUGCGAGCGUUGUCCGGAUUUAUUGGGCGUAAAGGGCUCGUAGGUGGUUGAUCGCGUCGGAAGUGUAAUCUUGGGGCUUAACCCUGAGCGUGCUUUCGAUACGGGUUGACUUGAAGAAAGUAGGGGAGAAAGGGAUUCCUGGUGGAGCGGUGGAAUGCGCAGAUAUCAGGAGGAACACCAGUGGCGAGGGCGUUUCUCUGGGCCUUUCCUGACGCUGAGGAGCGAAAGCGUGGGGAGCGAACAGGCUUAGAUACCCUGGUAGUCCACGCUGUAAACGGUGGGUACUAGGUGUGGGGUCCAUUCCACGGGUUCCGUGCCGUAGCUAACGCUUUAAGUACCCCGCCUGGGGAGUACGGCCGCAAGGCUAAAACUCAAAGGAAUUGACGGGGCCCCGCACAAGCGGCGGAGCAUGCGGAUUAAUUCGAUGCAACGCGUAGAACCUUACCUGGGUUUGACAUGGAUCGGGAGUGCUCAGAGAUGGGUGUGCCUCUUUUGGGGUCGGUUCACAGGUGGUGCAUGGCUGUCGUCAGCUCGUGUCGUGAGAUGUUGGGUUAAGUCCCGCAACGAGCGCAACCCUUGUUCACUGUUGCCAGCACGUUAUGGUGGGGACUCAGUGGAGACCGCCGGGGUCAACUCGGAGGAAGGUGGGGAUGACGUCAAGUCAUCAUGCCCCUUAUGUCCAGGGCUUCACGCAUGCUACAAUGGCUGGUACAGAGAGUGGCGAGCCUGUGAGGGUGAGCGAAUCUCGGAAAGCCGGUCUCAGUUCGGAUUGGGGUCUGCAACUCGACCUCAUGAAGUCGGAGUCGCUAGUAAUCGCAGAUCAGCAACGCUGCGGUGAAUACGUUCCCGGG
rnacentral:rRNA from 1 species